rnacentral:lncRNA from 1 species
CAUAUUCCUCACGUCUGCUGUCAUAUGUAUUAAUCUACAAUUGCUCUAUAGAGGAAUAUACAAGCUAAGUGUUUCUUUGAGCUUCUCUGUAGAUGACGAUUAAUCGGGAAACUGGGUUUCUUUCUAUGUUUCUGGGUGCAUUGGCAUUACGCUUUUGAAAAUUAAUUGCAAUUUGCAUUACAUAAUGUUGAAAAAUGUUCCCAUGCCACUUCAUUUGAAUCAUGUCCUAAUUUAUUGUUCUAAGAUACGACAUUAAAUCUUUAGAGAAUAUGCAUGCAGCAUUUACUUCAUACAAUCUGAAUCGAUGCUAUAAGAAUUGUGUUAGAACAUAUUAUCGUAUUCUAUACGGAAUUUUGUUUCCACUUCUGACGUUAUCAUAUGUUUCCAGUUGUUGAUUGUCUUAUAGAUUAUCUUUUCAUCUCGUGCUUCUUCUAUUGUAUAUUUUUUAUGGAUUCUGCGUAAACCUGCUUUCAAAUUGCUUCUAUGGCUUCUUGCACGGGAUAAUAAUUGAUUCUGUGCAGAAAACUACUGUGGAGGUGACUACAGUGAUAUCACGAGUACUAGUGGCUCUGCAAAGAAAGGUGCAAUA